rnacentral:rRNA from 1 species
AACGAACGCUGGCGGCAUGCCUAACACAUGCAAGUCGAACGAGACCUUCGGGUCUAGUGGCGCACGGGUGCGUAACGCGUGGGAACCUGCCCUUAGGUUCGGAAUAACUCCCCGAAAGGGGUGCUAAUACCGGAUAAUGUCUUCGGACCAAAGAUUUAUCGCCUUUGGAUGGGCCCGCGUUGGAUUAGCUAGUUGGUAGGGUAAAAGCCUACCAAGGCGACGAUCCAUAGCUGGUCUGAGAGGAUGAUCAGCCACACUGGGACUGAGACACGGCCCAGACUCCUACGGGAGGCAGCAGUGGGAAUAUUGGACAAUGGGCGAAAGCCUGAUCCAGCAAUGCCGCGUGAGUGAUGAAGGCCUUAGGGUUGUAAAGCCCUUUUACCCGGGAUGAUAAUGACAGUACCGGGAGAAUAAGCUCCGGCUAACUCCGUG